GUGAGUGUGGUGCAUGAUGGUGCGGGAAUACGAAGGGGGCUUGGUUGUUUGGGGUUGACUGGGCGUGAAGCGCGUGUUGGCGGAUUUGUGAGUUGGUGGUGAAAUCGCGAGGCACAACCUGGGAACUGCCUCCAAAACUAGAAGUCUGGAGCAAGAGAGAGGGAAGGGGAAUUGCGAGUGUAGAGGUGAAAUUCGUAGAUAUUCGCAGGAACACCAGUGGCGAAGGCGACGUGCUGGAUCUUUGCUGACGCUGAGACGCGAAAGCGUGGGGAGCAAACAGGAUUAGAUACCCGAGUAGUC
rnacentral:rRNA from 1 species